rnacentral:rRNA from 1 species
GAUUAACGCUGGCGGCGUGCCUAACACAUGCAAGUCGAACGAGGUAGCAAUACCUAGUGGCAGACGGGUGAGUAACGCGCGGUCAACCUACCCUAGAGUGGGGGAUAACUAGACCGAAAGGUUAGCUAAUACCGCAUGAAACGUGGCCGGGGCAUCUCGGAAUGUUGAAAGGAGCAAAUCCGCUCAAGGACGGGACCGCGUCCCAUUAGCUAGUUGGUGGGUAACGGCCUACCAAGGCACCGANGGGUAGCUGGUUUGAGAGAGCGACCAGCCACACUGGGACUGAGAAACGGCCCAGACUCCUACGGGAGGCAGCAGUGAGGAAUUUUCCGCAAUGGGCGAAAGCCUGACGGAGCGACGCCGCGUGUAGGAAGAAGGCC